UACGAAGGGGGCUAGCGUUGCUCGGAAUUACUGGGCGUAAAGGGCGCGUAGGCGGCCUUCUAAGUCAGACGUGAAAUCCCCCGGCUUAACCUGGGAACUGCGUCUGAUACUGGAGGGCUUGAGUGCGGGAGAGGGAUGCGGAAUUCCUGGUGUAGCGGUGAAAUGCGCAGAUAUCAGGAGGAACACCAAUGGCGAAGGCAGCUCGCUGGGACGUGACUGACGCUGAGACGCGAAAGCGUGGGGAGCAAACAGG
rnacentral:rRNA from 1 species